GUUGGCUCAGUGGUAGAGCAUCUGCCUUGUAAGCAGUAGGUCGUCGGUUCGAGUCCGGCA
rnacentral:ncRNA from 12 species